AUAAGAUGAUCAGGAAGAAGGGGCUACGGUCCUUUAAGGAGUAAGCUUUUCCGGACUGAGCUGAGGGGAUAAUCUAAGACUUAUUGAGUUCCCGUCCCGCUAUUCCUUUAUGGAAUGAGCCCGUACCGUAAUGCCUUAAUCAGUUAGUUAAGGCUGUUCUAACUGUACUACUCCUUUAUGGAAUGAGCUCGUACCGUAAUGUCUUAAUCAGUUAG
rnacentral:lncRNA from 1 species